GCCUGGCUGGCUCAUUUGGUGGAGCAUGUGUCUCUUGAUUUCAGGGUCGUGAGUUCAAGCCCCGUGUUGGGCG
rnacentral:tRNA from 1 species